rnacentral:ribozyme from 15 species
GUAAGAAUGCGCCUCCAUGCAUUGUUGACAAUGUUAAAAAUCCAGCAAUCAUUGGUGAGCUCGACAUCUCCAGUUUUGGUCUUCGUCUCACCUCCAAAUACCACAAUACUAUUAUC